rnacentral:rRNA from 1 species
UGGGGAAUAUUGGACAAUGGGCGCAAGCCUGAUCCAGCAAUGCCGCGUGUGUGAAGAAGGCCUUCGGGUUGUAAAGCACUUUAAGCAGGGAAGAAAAAACUCGGUCUAAUACAUCGAGUCUUGACGGUACCUGAAGAAUAAGCACCGGCUAACUCUGUGCCAGCAGCCGCGGUAAUACAGAGGGUGCUAGCGUUAAUCGGAUUUACUGGGCGUAAAGCGUGUGUAGGUGGUUGUUCAAGUCAGUUGUGAGAUCCCUGGGCUUAACCUGGGAACUGCUUCUGAGACUGAACGACUAGAGUACGGUAGAGGGUGGUGGAAUUUCCGGUGUAGCGGUGAAAUGCGUAGAUAUCGGAAGGAACAUCAAUGGCGAAGGCAGCCACCUGGGCCUGUACUGACACUGAGACACGAAAGCGUGGGGAUCAAACAGGAUUAGAUACCCUGGUAGUCCACGCCGU